CCAGAGUUUAACCUCAGCAGCAAUACCCCAAGCGACCCGACCGCCUCCUUUAACUCUUCUUCCUUGCUGCGAAAGAUCCAAAUGCGAAACUAGAAAUUCAGUCGCGCGUGACCGGGAUGAGAGCGAGACCCGACUCUAAUGAAUCGCAAAUCCAACGGCAACUCUACCCAAGCGCGUGAAGCGUCUCUUUAUUCUUUUUUUGUUUCUCACAGUUGUUCGACUAUGGCAGCCCCCUGCAAAUUUGUCCUCGCAGCAGUGUCCUUGCUCGUCCUUGGCUCGCGUGGAUGGACGCCAUCGGGUGCAACGACGAGCGAGUGUAUCCCAGUCGUUCGCUUCACUCUCUGACCCAGAUUUCAGCCAGAAAUUUGGAAGAGGGAAUGCUUUUUCUCGUCCUUGGAAGGGAGAUUUUUAAUUGGGAAUGGGUAGAGAGUCGAUUCUACCCUUUUCCCUCUCAAAAAUUGAAGCCCUAAUUUCCAAUCAUAUAUAUAUUCUCGUUAACUCACUUUUUAAGGGGGGCGGCGAUCUUUUUCCUCUUUUCUUUUUUUCCUGAUUGUUACCUAGCACAAAGAUAUCCAAUGGUUCAAACAGAAAAUACUCUAAACAUAUAUUAAAUUUACCCAUAAAAGUAGAGGUUGCCAUAUUUUAGCGUGGGGGAACUACAUUUUCUACCCAGGUCUUUGUUUGGCUGUUCAGACUCAGGGUCGCGUUUUGGUGUUAAAGGAUUAUUGCUCCUCAGCUCGUUUGUUCUCGUUGGUUGCUAUCACUUAAGGAUCAUUAAGAUGCUUAUUGUCAUAUAUGCUGAAAUCUGGUGCCUUUGCUUCAGUUUUGAACAUGAGAAUAUUAUUUUAGGUGAUGAAUUUAUAUCGUGACUGGUCUAUUGCCGAAUUUGACUUAUAUAUAUGUUCAAUUUGUUACUUAUGGGAAUGAGUGUUGAAACUUGAGUUUAAGCCUUGUAAAAGCUGUUCGAUUUCUAUUCAAGGUCAGGAAUUUGCGUUAUGUUGCUUUAGCGCUUCUCUUAUUGUUUGCCGUUUAAGUUUGAGCACGCAUUUAAUUUUGAUCAGAUUCAAACAUUCAUGUGGAAGCUUGAUCUCCAUUAUGCCCAUCUGGUUGUUAUUGAUCCUAAAAAAAAAAGAAAUUUUUUAAAAAAUGGAUAUGUGACAUGUUUACUUCCGGUAAAAUGGGCAAGAAUGUUUCUUUCCAAGUUAAUCAAUCUUUUUUUAAUUAUAAGUUUAGCUACCAGUUAGAGUUAUGGCUAGAUUUGCGACUACUCUAUAUAGCUAAUCUUCUUUUGUUUAUGUACUUUGCAUGUAAAAUUAUUCGUGUACUUCAUGGACUCCAAUCAUUCUUCUAGCAUUUCGGAAGAGCCAUAAAAGCUCAAAAUCAUUCUCAUCGAGUCUAAGCAGCCGCCAAACCGUUGAACAGAUCCCGAAGUCAGAAAGAUCCAAAAAUCCAAGGAGUUGAAGACUUUAGCUAAAAGCUCAAAUUUAUUUUUUUUACUAAGUCUUGUAUUUUGUUUUUUUGGGCCUAAGCCCUCAUCAUUUUUGCAUUAUUAUUAUUAUUUUGUUUAGUUAGGACAGGUACAAAGAAAAAUGGGUCAAAAAAACCAAAACAGGUGAGUUCAAAAAUCGGUCAAGGCGAACAAAACUCGGAUUUGGAUCCAAAUCUCUUUCCUUC